rnacentral:lncRNA from 1 species
UUGUAAAUAUAAGUAGUUUAUACUGGCUGCAACUUGGUGGCGGAGGUAGGCAAAAGAUUCAGGAGAAAAUCAUGAAAAUCUGAGGGAGAUAACAACUAUUUUUCUCGAUCUAAGCCUUCUAAAAUAUAUUCUUCACAAUUAUAUCAAAGCUGGGGGCGCCAUUGAACAGCUCUAGGAGAGUGCAUGCGUUCUGAUAUCACUACGCACAACUCCUAUAGCUACUGAUCCUACGCUUCACACACCCUGCCUUGUAUCACUGAGGGCAUGUACAAUGGUUGAUAAGGUAGUCUUAUCUUAAAUCUUGCAUGUAAUUUAGAUAUGAUAAAAAAAAGAGUCUACAAUGGGUCAUCUCUUAGCCUUAUCUUCAAUAACUAGUCAUUCCUAAAAAUGUGGUGAGACAUAUUGUGCUAAGAGAUCAUCUCUUGUCUUCUCUUAAAUAAGAGAAGACAAGCCUUUUUUUAUGAGUUCUCUCUCCUCCACAUCAUCAUUUAUCCUACGUGGCACUCUUAAGAUAGCACCAUUGUACAUGCCCUGAAGAGCUCGGCUGCUGCUGCAUGGUACUACCAUAAAAUCUUGAGGACUGCCUAACGACAUCAUCGGCCGACAUGUCGCGAUGAUCGCCAAUCCAGCCUUGGUCGGAGUCCUUAUUUGACUGAACACGCUAAAAUCCA